UUAAGAGUUUGAUCCUGGCUCAGGACGAACGCUGGCGGCGCGCCUUAUACAUGCAAGUCGAACGAACGAGAUUGGUGCUUGCACCGAUUGAGUUAGUGGCGGACGGGUGAGUAACACGUGAGCAACCUGCCUUACAGAGGGGAAUAACGUCUGGAAACGGACGCUAAUACCGCAUAAUCUUUCUUCACGGCAUCGUGAAGAAAGCAAAGGAGAAAUCCGCUGUAAGAUGGGCUCGCGGCCGAUUAGGUAGUUGGUGAGGUAAUGGCUCACCAAGCCGACGAUCGGUAGCCGGACUGAGAGGUUGAACGGCCACAUUGGGACUGAGACACGGCCCAGACUCCUACGGGAGGCAGCAGUAGGGAAUAUUGCACAAUGGAGGAAACUCUGAUGCAGCGACGUCGCGUGAGGGAAGAAGGUUUUCGGAUUGUAAACCUCUGUCUUUGGUGAAGAAAAUGACGGUAACCAAAGAGGAAGCCACGGCUAACUACGUGCCAGCAGCCGCGGUAAUACGUAGGUGGCAAGCGUUGUCCGGAAUUACUGGGUGUAAAGGGAGCGUAGGCGGGGGAAUAAGUUGAAUGUUAAAACUAUCGGCUCAACCGAUAGCAGCGUUCAAAACUAUUUCUCUUGAGUGGAGUAGAGGUAAGCGGAAUUCCUAGUGUAGCGGUGAAAUGCGUAGAUAUUAGGAGGAACACCAGUGGCGAAGGCGGUUUACUGGGCUCUAACUGACGCUGAGGCUCGAAAGCGUGGGUAGCAAACAGGAUUAGAUACCCUGGUAGUCCACGCUGUAAACGAUGAUUACUAGGUGUGGGGAGGUCAAACUUUCCGUGCCGGAGUUAACACAAUAAGUAAUCCACCUGGGGAGUACGACCGCAAGGUUGAAACUCAAAGGAAUUGACGGGGGCCCGCACAAGCAGUGGAGUAUGUGGUUUAAUUCGAAGCAACGCGAAGAACCUUACCAGAUCUUGACAUCCUAAGAAGGCUAUAGAAAUAUGGCUGUGCCUACGGGAGCUUAGAGACAGGUGGUGCAUGGUUGUCGUCAGCUCGUGUCGUGAGAUGUUGGGUUAAGUCCCGCAACGAGCGCAACCCUUACCAUUAGUUGCUACGCAAGAGCACUCUAAUGGGACUGCCGUUGACAAAACGGAGGAAGGUGGGGAUGACGUCAAAUCAUCAUGCCCUUUAUGAUCUGGGCUACACACGUACUACAAUGGCUACUAACAAAGUGAAGCGAGACCGCGAGGUGGAGCGAAACACAAAAAGUAGUCUCAGUUCGGAUUGUAGGCUGAAACUCGCCUACAUGAAGUCGGAAUUGCUAGUAAUCGCGAAUCAGAAUGUCGCGGUGAAUACGUUCCCGGGCCUUGUACACACCGCCCGUCACACCACGAGAGUUGGUAACACCCGAAGUCGAUAGUCUAACCGUUUACGGGGGACGUCGCCGAAGGUGGGAUUGAUGAUUGGGGUGAAGUCGUAACAAGGUAGC
rnacentral:rRNA from 1 species